rnacentral:rRNA from 1 species
AGCAGCCGCGGUAAUUCCAGCUCCAAUAGCGUAUAUUAAAGUUGUUGCAGUUAAAAGCUCGUAGUUGAAUUUCGGGAUCAGUAGGUUGGUCAUGCCUCUGGUAUGUACUGGUCUCACUGGUUCCUCCUUCCUGAUGAACCGUAAUGCCAUUAAUUUGGUGUUGCGGGGAAACUGGACUGUUACUUUGAAGAAAUUAGAGUGUUUAAAGCAGGCUAACGCUUGAAUACAUUAGCAUGGAAUAAUGAAAUAGGACGUUCGAUCCUAUUUUGUUGGUUUCUAGGAUUGACGUAAUGAUUAAUAGGGAUAGUUGGGGGCAUUAGUAUUCAAUUGUCAGAGGUGAAAUUCUUGGAUUUAUUGAAGACUAACUACUGCGAAAGCAUUUGCCAAGGAUGUUUUCAUUAAUCAAGAACGAAAGUUAGGGGAUCGAAGACGAUCAGAUACCGUCGUAGU